GACGAACGCUGGCGGCGUGCCUAAUACAUGCGAGUAGAACGCUGAAGGAGGAGCUUGCUCUUCUGGAUGAGUUGCGAACGGGUGAGUAACGCGUAGGUAACCUGCCUGGUAGCGGGGGAUAACUAUUGGAAACGAUAGCUAAUACCGCAUAACAGUAGAUGUUGCAUGACAUUUGCUUAAAAGGUGCAAUUGCAUCACUACCAGAUGGACCUGCGUUGUAUUAGCUAGUUGGUGGGGUAACGGCUCACCAAGGCGACGAUACAUAGCCGACCUGAGAGGGUGAUCGGCCACACUGGGACUGAGACACGGCCCAGACUCCUACGGGAGGCAGCAGUAGGGAAUCUUCGGCAAUGGACGGAAGUCUGACCGAGCAACGCCGCGUGAGUGAAGAAGGUUUUCGGAUCGUAAAGCUCUGUUGUAAGAGAAGAACGAGUGUGAGAGUGGAAAGUUCACACUGUGACGGUAUCUUACCAGAAAGGGACGGCUAACUACGUG
rnacentral:rRNA from 1 species